AACCUCCGCAAUGUGAGAAAUCGCGACGGGGGGAUCCCAAGUGCCAUUCUUAACGGGAUGGCUUUUCAUUAGUGUAAAGAGCUUUUGGAAUAAGAGCUGGGCAAGACCGGUGCCAGCCGCCGCGGUAACACCGGCAGCUCUAGUGGUAGCAAUUUUUAUUGGGCCUAAAGCGUCCGUAGCCGGUUUAAUAAGUCUCUGGUGAAAUCCUGCAGCUUAACUGUGGGAAUUGCUGGAGAUACUAUUAGACUUGAGAUCGGGAGAGGUUAGAGGUACUCCCAGGGUAGAGGUGAAAUUCUGUAAUCCUGGGAGGACCGCCUGUUGCGAAGGCGUCUAACUGGAACAAUUCUGACGGUGAGGGACGAAAGUUAGGGGCGCGAACCGGAUUAGAUACCCGGGUAGUCCUAACUGUAAACGAUGCGGACUUGGUGUUGGGGUGGCUUUGAGCUGCUCCAGUGCCGAAGGGAAGCUGUUAAGUCCGCCGCCUGGGAAGUACGGUCGCAAGACUAAAACUUAAAGGAAUU
rnacentral:rRNA from 1 species